CAGCAGCCGCGGUAAUACGUAGGUGGCAAGCGUUGUCCGGAAUUAAUGGGCGUAAAGGGCUCGCAGGCGGUUUCUUAAGUCUGAUGUGAAAGCCCCCGGCUCAACCGGGGAGGGUCAUUGGAAACUGGGAAACUUGAGUGCAGAAGAGGAGAGUGGAAUUCCACGUGUAGCGGUGAAAUGCGUAGAGAUGUGGAGGAACACCAGUGGCGAAGGCGACUCUCUGGUCUGUAACUGACGCUGAGGAGCGAAAGCGUGGGGAGCGAACAGGAUUAGAUACCCCCGUAGUCCCUGUCUCUUAUAU
rnacentral:rRNA from 1 species